CGGGAAAACUAUUAUAGCAACUUAUCAUUAUUAUUUUCCACUCAGAAAAUGGUGAUAUUAUUAAAAUAGUUUGUAUUAACAACUAGGUUAACAAAACAGACAAGUUUUUAUUGGAUACGGACUUUAAAAAAAAUAUUACACUGCUAUUGACUAGAAGUCCCAAUUUCCAAAUUCCGUGAAAAAGAUGGCGUUUUAAAUCGAAAACGAGGUCGGUGACCCCAUUUUUUUAUUUGCUUAUUUUAAAGCUUUUACCUAGCCUAAAGUAAAAAUAAAGUAUAAAGAAGAUAUUAUUGGUAGAUCUGAAUAGAAGGAUUUGUCUUUAAAGGGAAAUCACACUAUUGUUUAUACGCAUCGCUCUCGGCGCCGCCAUAGUGUCGUAACUGUAUUAUGACGUCGCCGUUUUCGAUUCCGCCGUAAAGGUUGCUAAUUUAUGAAAAAGCGAACGCUCGAAGGGAUGUUCCACUAAAGCAGGAGAAAUGAUAAUGGACAUAUCAUAUUUUUUACAACUGAUAUGUUGUACUAGCGAGUUUCUAGAUUGUAUUGGGGUUUACCUGCGGAAUACAAAAUAAUGGGCAAAUACUGCAGAAUAAAAGGCAAAAAAAAAAAGAUUGAAUGAUGAGGUGCUAAAAUAUAAAGAAUAAAAAAUAUUGGAAACACAAAAUAAACAUUAAUAAAUGAAUGACCCACUAUCCAGACCAUUAUGAUAAAAAGGAUCUACCAAUACAAAACACAUAAUCAUCAUGCAUAAUCAACACUAAGAAC
rnacentral:lncRNA from 1 species